rnacentral:ncRNA from 1 species
AUUAAACCGAUGAGGGAGAGGAGUACCUCUUUAUGAUUCCUAGGAGAGAGCUGCGAUGGUGGGAUGCAGUAGGAUAGUAAUUAGGGAAUGGACUCCUGAGGGCGUGAGGAAAUAAUGAGUUUCGGCUCGUUAGAGUAUUGCACGACGUAGGACAUACGUUAGUUGUCUGGGAUAUGAUGGUAUCCUGUAAGGGCAUAGGCAUUGCUUAUGAAUUCAAGGUGGCACCGCGGAAAAGAUUUUUCGUCCUUGAU